AUGAGACUGUUGGGUCUUCUGUGCCUGGUGACAGCCCUUCCUGGAGUCCUGUCCCAGCUCCAGCUUCAGGAGUCAGGACCUGGCCUGGUGAAGCCCUCACAGUCGCUGUCCCUCACUUGCUCUGUCACUGGUUACUCCAUCACCACCUAUGGUUACUCAUGGAACUGGAUCAGGCAGUUCCCAGGGAAGAAGCUGGAAUGGAUGGGGAACAUAGGUUAUGGUGGUGGCACUGGCUACAACCCAUCCCUCAAGAGCCGCAUCUCCAUCACCAGAGACACAGCUAAGAACCAGUUCUUCCUGCAGCUGAAAUCUGUGACCACUGAGGACGCAGCCGCAUAUUACUGUGCAAGAAACACAGUGAGGGGACUUCAGCAUGAGCCCAGACAAAAACCUCCCUGCAGAGGAGCUCUCGGCCAGCAGGGGGCGCGCAGCACUCACGAAGCCCAGGAACUCUAA